AGUGAACGCUGGCGGUAGGCCUAACACAUGCAAGUCGAACGGCAGCACAGUAAGAGCUUGCUCUUACGGGUGGCGAGUGGCGGACGGGUGAGGAAUACAUCGGAAUCUACUUUUUCGUGGGGGAUAACGUAGGUAAACUUACGCUAAUACCGCAUACGACCUACGGGUGAAAGCAGGGGAUCUUCGGACCUUGCGCGAUUGAAUUAGCCGAUGUCGGAUUAGCUAGUUGGCGGGGUAAAGGCCCACCAAGGCGACGAUCCGUAGCUGGUCUGAGGGGAUGAUCAGCCACACUGGAACUGAGACACGGUCCAGACUCCUACGGGAGGCAGCAGUGGGGAAUAUUGGACAAUGGGAGCAAGCCUGAUCCAGCCAUACCGCGUGGGUGAAGAAGGCCUUCGGGUUGUAAAGCCCUUUUGUUGGGAAAGAAAAGCAGCAGGUUAAUACCCCGCUGUUCUGACGGUACCCAAAGAAUAAGCACCGGCUAACUUCGUG
rnacentral:rRNA from 1 species